GACGAACGUUGGCGGCGUGCUUAAUACAUGCAAGUCAACUGAAGCAGUGGUAGCAAUAUCGCUGUGGAGGUGGCGCACGGGUGAGUAACACGUAGGUAAUCUGCCUUCAGGUCUGGCAUAACUCCGGGAAACCGGGGCUAAUAGCAGAUGAUGCAGCGGCUCAACAUCGAGACAGUUGUUAAAGCUAUGGCGCCUGAAGAUGAGCCUGCGUCUGAUUAGCUAGUUGGCGGGGUAACGGCCCACCAAGGCAACGAUCAGUAGCUGGUCUGAGAGGAUGAUCAGCCACACUGGAACUGAGACACGGUCCAGACUCCUACGGGAGGCAGCAGUAAGGAAUAUUGCUCAAUGGGAGAAAUCCUGAAGCAGCAACGCCGCGUGAGGGACGAAGGGCGUUUGCUUGUAAACCUCUGUAGUGAGAGAAAAAAAUCCCAAUCUUUGGGACAUGAUGGUAUCUCAAAAGUAAGCCCCGGCUAACUACGUG
rnacentral:rRNA from 1 species